ensembl:snRNA U6 U6 spliceosomal RNA
GUGCUAGCUUUGACAGCAUAUACACUAAAUUAGAAUGACACAGAGAUUAGCAUGCCCUCUGCAAAAGGAUGAGAUGCAAUUUUGUGAAGCAUUCUAAUAUUUU